rnacentral:rRNA from 1 species
UGAUCCUGGCUCAGGACGAACGCUGGCGGUGCGCUUUAUGCAUGCAAGUUGAGCGAAGCUUUUCAGUAGUUUACUACAGAAAAUGACUGAGCGGCGAACGGGUGAGUAACGCGUGAGCAAUCUACCUUAGUUACUGGGAUAGCCCGAGGAAACUCGGAUUAAUACCGGAUAUUCUUAUUUUUUCACAUGAAGUUUUAAGGAAAGGUCAGCCGAACUAAGAUGAGCUCGCGUUCUAUCAGCUAGUUGGUGGGGUAAAAGCCUACCAAGGCAACGACGGAUAGCUGGUCUGAGAGGACGAUCAGCCACACUGGGACUGAGACACGGCCCAGACUCCUACGGGAGGCUGCAGCAGGGAAUAUUGUGCAAUGAGCGAAAGCUUGACACAGCGACACCGCGUGUGGGAUGACGGUUCUAGGAUUGUAAACCACUUUCAGGAGGGAAGAAAAUGACGGUACCUCCACAAGAAGACCCGGCCAACUAUGUGCCAGCAGCCGCGGUAAUACAUAGGGGUCAAGCGUUGUCCGGAUUUAUUGGGCGUAAAGAGCUCGUAGGCGGUUCAACAAGUCGGUCGUAAAAGUUUAGGGCUCAACCCUAAAAUGUCGAUCGAUACUGUUGUGACUAGGAUACGGUAGAGGUGAAUGGAAUUCCGAGUGUAGCGGUGAAAUGCGUAGAUAUUCGGAGGAACACCAAUUGCGAAGGCAGUUCACUGGACCGUGAUCGACGCUGAGGAGCGAAAGCUAGGGGAGCAAACAGGAUUAGAUACCCUGGUAGU